GGGCCGCUAGCUCAGGUGGUAGAGCAACGCCCUUUUAAGGCGUGGGUCGAAGGUUCGAGUCCUUCGCGGCUCA
rnacentral:tRNA from 1 species